rnacentral:rRNA from 1 species
AUUGAACGCUGGCGGCAGGCCUAACACAUGCAAGUCGAGCGGAUGAAGGGAGCUUGCUCCUGGAUUCAGCGGCGGACGGGUGAGUAAUGCCCAGGAAUCUGCCUGGUAGUGGGGGAUAACGUCCGGAAACGGGCGCUAAUACCGCAUACAUCCUGAGGGAGAAAGUGGGGGAUCUUCGGACCUCACGCUAUCAGAUGAGCCUAGGUCGGAUUAGCUAGUUGGUGGGGUAAAGGCCUACCAAGGCGACGAUCCGUAACUGGUCUGAGAGGAUGAUCAGUCACACUGGAACUGAGACACGGUCCAGACUCCUACGGGAGGCAGCAGUGGGGAAUAUCGGACAAUGGGCGAAAGCCUGAUCCAGCCAUGCCGCGUGUGUGAAGAAGGUCUUCGGAUUGUAAAGCACUUUAAGUUGGGAGGAAGGGCAGUAAGUUAAUACCUUGCUGUUUUGACGUUACCAACAGAAUAAGCACCGGCUAACUUCGUG